UGGUGUAUCAAUAUCUAUUAACCAAUGACUGUGUAACUCUAAACAUAUUAAUUAAACUUUAUUUCAUCAUAGAGUUUAACUAUCAUUGUAAAUAUAAUGACGAAUAACUUAUUACAGUAUAAUGUAAACAGGGAACAUAACGGCACCACAUAUCGGCAGUGCCAUGGUUAAUUUCUUUCUGCCCCUUGGAUAGUCAUUUCUGGUUACAUGUAUAGUUUUAAGUAUAACUCCAAG